rnacentral:rRNA from 1 species
CUCAGGACGAACGCUGGCGGCGUGCCUAAUACAUGCAAGUAGAACGCUGAAGAGAGGAGCUUGCUCUUCUUGGAUGAGUUGCGAACGGGUGAGUAACGCGUAGGUAACCUGCCUUGUAGCGGGGGAUAACUAUUGGAAACGAUAGCUAAUACCGCAUAACAAUGGAUGACACAUGUCAUUUAUUUGAAAGGGGCAAUUGUUCCACUACAAGAUGGACCUGCGUUGUAUUAGCUAGUAGGUGAGGUAAUGGCUCACCUAGGCGACGAUACAUAGCCGACCUGAGAGGGUGAUCGGCCACACUGGGACUGAGACACGGCCCAGACUCCUACGGGAGGCAGCAGUAGGGAAUCUUCGGCAAUGGGGGCAACCCUGACCGAGCAACGCCGCGUGAGUGAAGAAGGUUUUCGGAUCGUAAAGCUCUGUUGUAAGUCAAGAACGGGUGUGAGAGUGGAAAGUUCACACUGUGACGGUAGCUUACCAGAAAGGGACGGCUAACUACGUGCCAGCAGCCGCGGUAAUACGUAGGUCCCGAGCGUUGUCCGGAUUUAUUGGGCGUAAAGCGAGCGCAGGCGGUUUGAUAAGUCUGAAGUUAAAGGCUGUGGCUCAACCAUAGUUCGCUUUGGAAACUGUCAAACUUGAGUGCAGAAGGGGAGAGUGGAAUUCCAUGUGUAGCGGUGAAAUGCGUAGAUAUAUGGAGGAACACCGGUGGCGAAAGCGGCUCUCUGGUCUGUAACUGACGCUGAGGCUCGAAAGCGUGGGGAGCGAACAGGAUUAGAUACCCUGGUAGUCCACGCCGUAAACGAUGAGUGCUAGGUGUUGGAUCCUUUCCGGGAUUCAGUGCCGCAGCUAACGCAUUAAGCACUCCGCCUGGGGAGUACGACCGCAAGGUUGAAACUCAAAGGAAUUGACGGGGGCCCGCACAAGCGGUGGAGCAUGUGGUUUAAUUCGAAGCAACGCGAAGAACCUUACCAGGUCUUGACAUCCCGAUGCUAUUUCUAGAGAUAGAAAGUUACUUCGGUACAUCGGUGACAGGUGGUGCAUGGUUGUCGUCAGCUCGUGUCGUGAGAUGUUGGGUUAAGUCCCGCAACGAGCGCAACCCCUAUUGUUAGUUGCCAUCAUUCAGUUGGGCACUCUAGCGAGACUGCCGGUAAUAAACCGGAGGAAGGUGGGGAUGACGUCAAAUCAUCAUGCCCCUUAUGACCUGGGCUACACACGUGCUACAAUGGUUGGUACAACGAGUUGCGAGUCGGUGACGGCGAGCUAAUCUCUUAAAGCCAAUCUCAGUUCGGAUUGUAGGCUGCAACUCGCCUACAUGAAGUCGGAAUCGCUAGUAAUCGCGGAUCAGCACGCCGCGGUGAAUACGUUCCCGGGCCUUGUACACACCGCCCGUCACACCACGAGAGUUUGUAACACCCGAAGUCGGUGAGGUAACCUUUUGGAGCCAGCCGCCUAAGGUGGGACAGAUGA